AUUGAACGCUGGCGGCAUGCUUUACACAUGCAAGUCGAACGGUAACAGGCCUUCGGGUGCUGACGAGUGGCGAACGGGUGAGUAAUGCAUCGGAACGUGCCCAGAGGUGGGGGAUAACGCAGCGAAAGCUGUGCUAAUACCGCAUGUGAUCUGAGGAUGAAAGCGGGGGACCAGGCAGCAAUGUUUGGCCUCGCGCCUUUGGAGCGGCCGAUGUCAGAUUAGGUAGUUGGUGGGGUAAAGGCCUACCAAGCCGACGAUCUGUAGCUGGUCUGAGAGGACGACCAGCCAAACUGGGACUGAGACACGGCCCAGACUCCUACGGGAGGCAGCAGUGGGGAAUGUUGGACAAUGGGCGCAAGCCUGAUCCAGCAAUGCCGCGUGCGGGAAGAAGGCCUUCGGGUUGUAAACCGCUUUUGUACGGAACGAAAAGGCCCUGGCUAAUACCUGGGGCUGAUGACGGUACCGUAAGAAUAAGCACCGGCUAACUACGUG
rnacentral:rRNA from 1 species